rnacentral:rRNA from 1 species
UGGGGAAUUUUGCACAAUGGGGGAAACCCUGAUGCAGCGACGCCGCGUGAUUUAGAAGGCCUUCGGGUUGUAAAAAUCUUUUCUAUGGGAAGAAAAUGACAGUACCAUAGGAAUAAGGACCGGCUAACUACGUGCCAGCAGCCGCGGUAAUACGUAGGUGGCAAGCGUUGUCCGGAAUUAUUGGGCGUAAAGCGCGCGCAGGCGGUCACUUAAGUCCAUCUUAGAAGUGCGGGGCUUAACCCCGUGAUGGGAUGGAAACUGGGAGACUGGAGUAUCGGAGAGGAAAGUGGAAUUCCUAGUGUAGCGGUGAAAUGCGUAGAUAUUAGGAAGAACACCGGUGGCGAAGGCGACUUUCUGGACGAAAACUGACGCUGAGGCGCGAAAGCGUGGGGAGCAAACAGG